CCUACGGGGGGCAGCAGUGAGGAAUAUUGGUCAAUGGCCGGAAGGCUGAACCAGCCAUGCCGCGUGAAGGUCAGUGCCCUAUGGGCGUUAAACUUCUUUUGUGCGGGAGCAAUAAUGGUCACGUGUGGCCAGACGAGAGUACCGUACGAAUAAGCAUCGGCUAACUCCGUGCCAGCAGCCGCGGUAAUACGGGGGAUGCAAGCGUUAUCCGGAUUUAUUGGGUUUAAAGGGUGCGUAGGCUGUGAGGUAAGUCAGCGGUGAAAUGCCCCCGCUCAACGGGGUGAAGUGCCAUUGAUACUGCCCUGGUGGGAUGCGGAUGCCGUUGGAGGAAUGUGUGGUGUAGCGGUGAAAUGGAGAGAUAUCACAACGAACACCGAUUUCGAAGGCAUUUCAAGAAGCCGCGAUUGACGCCGAUGCACGAAAGCGGGGGUAUCAAACAGGAUUAGAUACCCCGGUAGUC
rnacentral:rRNA from 1 species